rnacentral:rRNA from 1 species
CCUACGGGUGGCAGCAGUGGGGAAUAUUGCACAAUGGGGGCAACCCUGAUGCAGCGACGCCGCGUGGAUGAAGAAGCGCCUCGGCGCGUAAAGCCCUGUCAGCAGGGAAGAAAAUGACGGUACCUGAAGAAGAAGCCCCGGCUAACUACGUGCCAACAGCCGCGGUCAUACGUAGGGGGAAAGCGUUCGCCGAAUUUACUGGGUGUAAAGGGGGCGCAGACGGCUGGGCAAGCCAGGCGUGCAAGCCCGGGGCUAAACCAGGGGACUGCUCUUGGAACUGCGUGGCUGGAGUGUAGGAGGGGUAGGUGGAAUUCCUGGUGUAGCGGUGAAAUGCGUAGAUAUCAGGAGGAAAACCGGUGGCGAAGGCGGCCUGCUGGACUGCAACUGACGUUGAGGCGCGAAAGCGUGGGGAGCAAACAGGAUUAGAUACCCGAGUAGUC